rnacentral:lncRNA from 1 species
CCUUCGGGACAACCGGUCCGCCCUGGGUAUCUUGGCCUACAGCACACAGCAGGACCCGCCUCAACCCAACUCCAGUCCAAACAACCAUGUGCACAUAUACAUACAAUCAUAUAGCAAUUCACAGUCAACAAGCAGAUCAAACAGAUCACAUAACAUAUCAUCAUCCUAACCAGGAUACCGACCUAACAGGUCACUAGCAUAGCAUCUCCCUAACUCUCAGGAUAUCGAUCUCAAUCAGGUCUCUAUAUACCAUCCUAGCUCUCAGGAUGCAAACAUAUCAUAGCAACAACAUAACAACAACUACCCGGAUCUCAAUCCGAUAAGGGCCGGCCUUGGUGCCUUAGACCCUGUUGAUAUAGUGAGGAUAACUCACCUCGAAACUGCCGACUGAACAGAUAACCCAAGCUGCUCCGAUCACUGAUACGAUCUCCACCACUGGACAACCACCAAUGCACUGAACUCAAAACAAUAAUCAACAAUUACCAAAAUGCCCCUGGAAACCACAGGCCAACCCUUGGUCAAAGACAAGGUCAAAGUCAACCCCUGACUGACUCUACUCGCCGAGUCAACCCGAUGACUCGCCGAGUCCCCAUACUCAGAACUUCCCUCAAUCCGCGACCUAACUCGCCGAGUCACCCCGAGACUCGUCGAGUUCAACAACUCUGAGUCCACUCGCACACAACUCACCGAGUCAUCCCUUGACUCCCCGAUUCUCGACUCGACCAGAAAAAUAUUGGGACUCUUCGACAAGACUCGCCGAGCCCAAGAACAGACUCGCCGAGUCUAAGGCUAUCUUCAACCUACUCGCCGAGUUGUUUAGACAACUCGCCGAGUUCCAGGCCAUCUUCAUCCAACUCGCUGAGUUGUUCUUCCAACUCGUCGAGUUCCAGCUCAUCUUCAAGCAACUCGUCGAGUACACCCACAUGACUCGCCGAGUACCAACGGUCUGAAACCAUUCAGAAGCAUUCCAGGCCAUGCAAUCGCUCCCAGACGUAGAUCUAGCCUCCUACAACUCAUUCAUCACGUAAAGAGGCAAAAUUUAUGUGAAUCCAAAGAGAUCUAUGCAUUUUGCACAUUAGGGCUAAGGUUUGGGACAUGAUAGCUUCAUCCAACACUCAACACAGGGACUUUCAUGCAUUCCAACUCUUCUCCUUUCCAGAUCUGAGGUAGCAACCUUAGAUCUAACCUCUAAACUCCAACACUUCCAAAUAUAAUCUUUAAUACCCCCAAAGUGAUGCAUCAAGGAAAUAGCAGCUCAAAGACGAGAUAUUACCUCAAAAGAAUGCCCCAACUGCAAUGAAACUUGAAUCCAAGCAAAGCCCCUUGCUCCAAGCCUCUCCUUCUCUACGAUCUCUUCAAUAACCACCUCUCCAAGCUCUAAUUUGCUCAAUAAUGGUGGUUCUCCACGAUCUUACGGUUUCUGGGACACAAGGGGUGAUAAAGAGGCUGGGAGGAAAACAUAAUGUUCUUUAUAUAGCGCUCAACCCCGAGAAUUAGGGUUUUCUCCACUCAGCGCCUACUCGCCGAGUCCACCUCAUUGACUCGCCGAGUCGGCUACUUAACACGCGACCAAAUCGCGACUCUACUCGCCGAGUCCAUCCAUGGACUCGCCGAGUCANNNNNNNNNNNNNNNNNNNNNNNNNNNNNNNNNNNNNNNNNNNNNNNNNNNNNNNNNNNNNNNNNNNNNNNNNNNNNNNNNNNNNNNNNNNNNNNNNNNNNNNNNNNNNNNNNNNNNNNNNNNNNNNNNNNNNNNNNNNNNNNNNNNNNNNNNNNNNNNNNNNNNNNNNNNNNNNUUCCCAAUUUACUCUUUUAGCCCUUCCACUCUACUCUUGAUAUUUCGGGAUGUUACAAUUCUCCCCCACUUAAAUUAGGCUUCGUCCUCGAAGCCUACUGCAAUUCAAUCCCAACGAUACUCCCACAACGCGCCACCUGGCCUUAACCGGGCCAAGUCCCUCAAGGCAUACCCAUCGAAACUCAAACACACUUUCUCUUUCCUUACGGUGUCCUGACCACCGUCUCGAGCCGGGCACCGGCUGUACCCUCUGAUAAUCACACUCAACAACCGAGAAUUACCCAUGAAGCAUCACUGCCCCAAAUCCCAACAAUCACUCGACCCAUAAGGGCUAGAAAGCCAUGAACCAUCGGAUCCCCGAUCCGAAUCCCACUCUAUCCAUUCCGUGACGACGGAAAGACCCAUUCUCAAUCUCAGAGCAACUCCCACGAGUUCUCCUCUUGCAAUCACAUACACAUGCUGAACUUUUUCCAGCACCCUCAGGUUGGGAAAACCUGAUACACUGAUGAUAUCCUCCAACAUCCCCCAGGAUGAACCACUAAUACAUAUCCAAUACCCUGAUCAGAAUCACACUGAGAGCCCAAGACUCUCUCCCUGCAUCCCUUCCGAGUCUCUUGGCUCUACAUCUGCGGAAUUCCUCCGCAACCUCAACAGACAUCCCAAACUGGAUGAGCUUCUAUUCCACUUCCGCAAACACGCUGCUCCAAAAACCAUACUCGAAUUACUCUAAUCAAAACUCUGCUCUGCCGCUUUCACUUCCGUGAACUUGCACUCACUCUCGGAGUUACACACCUCCCUCACUUCCUUUUCCAAGGAAUCCAUUUGGCCAUAUUGCCACUCCAACAAGUGCCACGGUGCUCGCCCAACGCUACACCACCCUUUUAGUGUAUCCGCUAUCCAUCCAACACACAUCCUCUGACUCUCAUCGCAGGGACUCUCAAGCCCCUGCACUAUCUCCACUAAUCAAGAUCACUACCCGGGGCCAGACCUUCUAAUGCAAUCAGACUACAACAUACACAACCCAUAUCCUCAAACUGAUCCAACAGUACCUGCAGAGUCUUCAGCAUGACUGGACCGCCUCACCAGGCCUUCAGUCCAUCUGGACCACUCUCAGAACCUUCAGCCAAUCUGGACCGCUCUCAGUGUCUUCAGUUUGGCUGGACCAUUCUCCGAGCCUUCGGCCUGACUGGUACGCCUUCCGGCCUUCAGUCUAUCAGGACCGCUCAACUAGCAUUCAACAUUCCGAGCUAUCCCCCCGGAAAUCCUCCCAUGCAUACCGUUCUAGCCCUCUAGGGGUUCCGAACUCUAACUCCAUCAUACAUACUCAAUCCCGGCCUACUCCCAGGCCCUCCACAAUCAAAUGCGCUAGGUCUAAAUCCCUCCCCGCAUGUCCGACUCUUAGUCCUAUCAGCCUAUACUCUGGGCUGAUAGUACACUUGCUGAAUCCCAACAGCUAAGCACUUAUAAUUACUCAUCGAUCUCCCGGAGAAUUCUCCAAUUCUCCCCUACUUGGGUACUAACUAUCGACCAUCGGUCGCCAUUACCGACCUCCCAGAACAACUCUUGCACAAAGAAAACACUUACACGCGGACUGCUUCUCACAAGCAUAAACAACCUCAACGAGAUCUCACAUCAACACUGAUCAACCUACUCGAAUGAAACUCAAUCUGCAUCUAACCACUCCUCAGAAAGCAGAUGCUACCCGGCCUGCAACCCAAUGUCGGGUUUCCACUAAUAACCCUCAUGAAUGAUAACCAAUGGAAUUCCUAAAACAAUAACCCAUAACCAAAACCACAACCCGCAAAAUGACGAAUACCACAUCGAAGACCAAACAAAAUACCAGCACAUAAACAUUACACCACAAUAAUCACAAGAUAACAAGACAUCAAAAAAGAAACAUACCCGCAGCUACAUCUGACACUGCCCUGACGUCCUCUGCUACAAGAUGAAAAGCACGACCCUGAGCCCUUGGGGGCUCUGCUCCGCCCUAACCUCCACCUGUGAUCCUCAAAGUGGCCGGUGCUGGAGCCUGCACCGGUCCUGCAACAAGCUGUGGACAGUUGACCCUCAAAUGCCCAACCUGAUGACAAUGAUAGCAAAUCCUCAAAUCCCGAACUGGCACUGACUGCCGACAAUCCCUCGCAUAGUACCCCUCCUUUCCACACUUGCGGCAUGCACCACCGGACCUACAAACCCCGGUGUGACCCCUCCCACACUUCCCACAAGUGUGAUUGCUCAGAUUCCCCACUCUAACAUCAACGGUCUUGGACCGUUUCGGUGCCGGCUGCGACUGCACCGGAGCCUGCCUUAGCUUACGCAACUGCAACUCAAUCUCUAACUCACGCCGCCUAGUGGCCUCCUGCAAUUCCAACAAGGUCUCGCACCUCUGCGCAGACACAAACGGUCUGAUGUCCCUCUUGAGCAUGCUCAGAUAUCGAGACAUCUGAGCCUGCUCCGAAGCGAACUCUGGGCAAAACAUCGCGCUCUGAUUGAACAUCCUGGUGAUCUUAGUCACCGACUCCGAACCCUGCUUCAGCUCAAGGAACUCCUGAGCCAAUCUCUCCCUCUCAACUUGCGGAACAUAACGAGUGCCGAACAUUUCUCUGAACUGAUCCCACGAAACCGCAACCCUCUGCGCAUCCGAAUAUGACCCCGUGGUCAAUCUCCACCAAUCCUUCGCCCCGAGCCUCAACAGGUUCAGAGCACACCUCACCCUCUGAUCAGCAGGGCAUGAACACGUGAAGAAACACCCCUCCACGUCCGAUAACCAUCUCAUAGCAACAAUCGGGUCCUGAACUCCAUCGAAGGUGGGAGGCUUCGUAUUAUCGAAGUCCCGAUACUGAAAACCCCGACCAGCUCCUCCCCCUGCCGCCGCUACAGCCGCUAUAGCCGCCGCGGCAGCCGUCUCUGCGAGAGCCACAUAGCGCUCAUCAAAAUACUCAACCAUGGCGGUCUUAAUCGACCCAAACAGCUCUGGCAACUCAGCCCGGAACAACUCAGCAAUCUCAUCAUGCAGGAUCUCACGAAUCCUCGCACCCAACUCGUUCGUGCUCAUCUGACCGAUAACCUCAGGCGGCACCGAUCCACCCGGACUCUCUCUCCAGCUCCCGAUCCUGACCCGGAUCCACUCUCAUCAUGCCUCGGAAUCUCCAUGCUGAAAAGAAACACCACACAAAAUCUCAGACUCUUCCCACCAUCCUGGGAUCCAACACUCUCCACCCAACCCUAAAGAUCACGGUUUCCCUGAUAUGCGUAUGGGUCCUGUGCUUUCAGUAGUACGGUCCCAUACUACCUUCCACACCUACCCAUAUUUGUAUGAAGUACUACCACAACACCCUAGUGAAAACAUGCAUAACAACUCUCAACCCUCACCACUAGAGGAACACUGAAAAUCUCCCACAAGGAAACCCUAGGCUACAGGCAUCACAAAUCAGGCAACAUUAUCAUGAAAUCCUGAAGAUCCCUAGCCUAUCACUAGCAUGCUGUUCUAUCAAAGCUCAAAAACAAAUAACAUGCAUGGUAUUUUGGGGUUACUUACUGGCUCCGGCUGAUCGUACCUCCGCGUCCUCCUUUACUCAUUUUGAAAACCAUUUUAAAUUCUCUUUUGAAAACUCUCCUCGAUUUGAGACUGGAGUCACACGAGUGUUUCUCCAAUUCACUCAAACCAAGGCUCUGAUACCAACUUGUAACGACCGAAAAAUACAACCAAUUUUAAAUUUUUCAAAAACAACUCGAUUCCAUUAAAUCUUUACAAAAAGGUUUUCAAUACAAAACAUUUAACGUAUUCCCAGAAUCACAUUACUACAAAAUCAUGAGGAGCGGUACGAUCACGCCUUCGCCUUGCCACGGUCUCCUGAAGAACCUGAAAAACAUAAAACCACAACUGUAAGCCCGAAAGCUUAGUGAGAUAUCCCCAAAAUACCAACCACAUAUACCAUACACGCAUAACAUGCCACAACAUAUCUGAUCACAGAACAGCCAUGCACUUCGGGUCUACUGUGUGACUGGUCCGCCGCACCGGCCUACAGUCCACCUGGUCCACCCUCUGAGUCUAGCCAUAAACCUCGAGUCUACAGUGUGAUUGGUCCGCCCGCACCGGGCCUUCAAUCCACCUGGUCCACUCUCCGAAUCUAACCACAUACAUCGAGUCUGCAGUGUGAUUGGUCCGCCCGCACCGGGCCUUCAAUCCACCUGGUCCACUCUCUGAGUCUACAGUAUGACUGGUCCGCCCGCACCGGGCCUUCAGUCUAUCUGGUCCACUCUCCGAGCCUUCGGCACGUCUGGUCCGCCCUUUCGGGGCCUACAGCCUAUCCGGACCGCUCGCUGGGCCUUCGGGACAACCGGUCCGCCCUGGGUAUCUUGGCCUACAGCACACAGCAGGACCCGCCUCAACCCAACUCCAGUCCAAACAACCAUGUGCACAUAUACAUACAAUCAUAUAGCAAUUCACAGUCAACAAGCAGAUCAAACAGAUCACAUAACAUAUCAUCAUCCUAACCAGGAUACCGACCUAACAGGUCACUAGCAUAGCAUCUCCCUAUCUCUCAGGAUACCGAUCUCAAUCAGGUCUCUAACAUAUACCAUCCUAGCUCUCAGGAUGCAAACAUAUCAUAGCAACAACAUAACAACAACUACCCGGAUCUCAAUCCGAUAAGGGCCGGCCUUGGUGCCUUAGACCCUGUUGAUAUAGUGAGGAUAACUCACCUCGAAACUGCCGACUGAACAGAUAACCCAAGCUGCUCCGAUCACUGAUACGAUCUCCACCACUGGACAACCACCAAUGCACUGAACUCAAAACAAUAAUCAACAAUUACCAAAAUGCCCCUGGAAACCACUGGUCAACCCUUGGUCAAAGACAAGGUCAAAGUCAACCCCUGACUGACUCUACUCGCCGAGUCAACCCGAUGACUCGCCGAGUCCCCAUACUCAGAACUUCCCUCAAUCCGCGACCUAACUCGCCGAGUCACCCCGAGACUCGUCGAGUUCAACAACUCUGAGUCCACUCGCACACAACUCACCGAGUCAUCCCUUGACUCACCGAUUCUCGACUCGACCAGAAAAUAUUGGGACUCUUCGACAAGACUCGCCGAGCCCAAGAACAGACUCGCCGAGUCUAAGGCUAUCUUCAACCUACUCGCCGAGUUGUUCAUACAACUCGCCGAGUUCCAGGCCAUCUUCAUCCAACUCGCCGAGUUGUUCUUCCAACUCGUCGAGUUCCAGCUCAUCUUCAAGCAACUCGUCGAGUCCACCCAUGUGACUCGCCGAGUACCACCGGUCUGAAUCCAUACAGAAGCACUCCAGGCCAUGCAAUUGAUCCAAAACAUAGAUCUAGCCUCCUACAACCCAUCCAUCACGUAAAGUGGCAAACUUUACGUGAAUCCAAAGAGAUCUAGGCCUUUUGCACAUUGGGCUAGGGUUUGGGACAUGAUGGCUCCACUAAACACUCCAACACAGGGACUUUCAUGCUCUCUGAUCCUUCUCCAUUCCAGAUCUGAGGUAGCAACCUCAGAUCUAACCUCUAGACUCCAAUUACAUCCAAAGACAAGCUCCCCACAAACCCCAAAAUGAAGAAACAACAUAACAACAGCCCAAGAACGAGAUAUUACCUCCAAGGAACGCCCCAACUGCAAUGAAACUCGAAUCCAAGCAAAGCCCCUUGCUCCAAGCCUUCAAACUCCCAAAAUUCCUUCAACAAACACCUCCUUCAAGCUCCCAAAUGAGAUAUGA